GCCAUCUUAGGUUGCUAGUGGCCUCUAUCACCUUACACUGAUCAGAGCGAGCUCCUGAACUUAACCCUCAUAGUCUCACAGCUACGCUUGCCCUCAGUGAGCCAGGCAGUCACUUCACAGGCCACAUUCCUACUGAGCCAGGCUGCCAUCUUACUCAGGAGUUAUUACUGAUCCAAACAUUCCCUUUGUUAGAUUCUUUGAAGCACGUUCAUCCUUGUGUGUCCAACACGCAGCAGGGGCCUGGGAGCCAAAGAGACAUGAGAUAUUUGCUUCACCCCUUGCAUUUCUAAAUAACUACAUUACCUAUCAAGGAUGGGGGUGAUACACGAAGCUAAAUAAAUCUUGAAUAAAAAUAUACACCUUUGCCAGAAAUCCAGAGUUAUUCAGGAUAAUCCUGUUCUUCAUCUGACGAGAUGGCACUUACUUCCUACUAACACUGACCGGCUGUGGGAAAGCCAUGCAUAUUUUUUUCCCAUUUUCCUGACAGUGUGAUAGACUGAGCGGAGCCUGCCAACCUGACACCAGUGCAAAUUAAACUCACAUCUUGAUCGUCUCGGCUACAUUCUAUGUGGUAUAGGAGGGAAAAUGAAUAAAUCAACUCAACCGGUGGACAAAUGUCUAUUUUUGCUGGGUAACAAGCUGUAAGAUGCUGAAUGGCCAAACUCCAAGCAGGACGGCCGGUGUUAUCAGAAGAAUUCCUACUUUAAACUGAUGAAGUUCACUACAGCAGCAUAUAUCCAUCUAACCCAGCAGCUCAGCAUUCUACUACGGUACUGGUACAAGAAAUUGGAAGACCUAAGGAGAAACCACUGUCACUUGCUCUGCCACCAGAGGGCAGUCACUGCAAACACACAGGGUCUAGAGGAGAGAUGGAGAGGAUUGAAUAAGUGUAAGGAAAGUGCCUGGAGUUUGGUAGACAUUUUCUAAAACUGCUG
rnacentral:lncRNA from 1 species